rnacentral:rRNA from 1 species
UACGUAGGGUGCGAGCGUUAAUCGGAAUUACUGGGCGUAAAGCGUGCGCAGGCGGUUAUUUAAGUCAGGUGUGAAAGCCCUGGGCUUAACCUAGGAAUUGCGCUUGAGACUGGAUAGCUUGGAGUGCGGCAGAGGGAGGUGGAAUUCCACGUGUAGCAGUGAAAUGCGUAGAUAUGCGGAGGAACACCGAUGGCGAAGGCAA